rnacentral:misc_RNA from 1 species
AUUUAUAUUUUAUUUGAAACAAGAUUAAGUGAAACUGAACUUUUUUAUACAAUGGACCUUUAUGCACCAGGUUCUUCUGGGUUAACUGUUUUAUCAAGACACAGUAUAUAUAUGAUGACUAAGAACAUAAAUGAGAAGAGUUUUAGCGAAAAAAUAGAUAAGGUACAAGAAAUAAUAAUAAAUAAAUACAGUUUAAAUAGUAAGGAAAGGAAAACAUUUAUCCAUUAAAUUUUCAAAGCUAAAGUCGGAAAUGAAGUCACGGUGGAUAACUGCAAAAAGAACAGAAGAUAAAUUUUUGAAAAUGAAUCGAGAUUGACUGCAAGGGACAAUAAACGUCGCGACGUUUGCUA